CAGUACUCUUUUCCUAUUCAUCUUUAAGGACGAUGCCAAGAUUAACGCCUCUUCCCUCUCCGGGAAUGGCGUGGUCCAACCGCGUCAAUCUUUCGCCGUUAGCGGCGCGACUCGAGGCCGCGGUUCUGCCUCCGAGGUCACCACCUGUCUGGGCAGCAUUUGGCCUCCAGCCUCCGGGACAUCGAUCUCUCCGGGGAGGGGGUGGACAGAGCCAGGUUGGGAGAGAGGAAAGAAAAAGAAGCUAGCAAUUGUGCCUCGAGCCCCUACUGUGUAUGAGUACAAAUGCCUCAUUUAUUCCUCAUUACAACCUGCGAAAGAGAUUUUAUCCCGUUUUAUGGAAACUGAGCUUCAGAAUGGGCAGCAGAAGAGGACUGAAAUGCCUAACAGGUGCUCAAGAACCGCUACCAUGAUGAAGACUCUCCCCCUGGUCAGAUGUACUUGUUUGGGGAGAGGCUGUUCAUCUACAGAGGAAGUGAAGUGCUACAGGGAUCUCUACCCGGGUCUGGAACAAGAUUUGGAGGUGG